AAAUGACUAAAACUCAGUAUGUAUGUAUAUGAAAUUGUUAAACAAAAACAUCAAAAUCACCUUUUUUUUAAAAAAAAAGUUUAAUGUUUCUCUUUAUAGAGGGUCAAUCAUUACAACUUAGGGCUUAUUUUGUUGGAUCAAUUUUGUCUUUAAGGUUUUUUAGUUCCUUGGAGCAAAUUGUCAGAUGUGAAGUUUUAGUUAGACUCAGUGCCGUCCAGGGUUCUGUGUAACUGAAAAAUCAAGUCAAUAAACACUUUGUAUUAAUCGUCAAAAUCCCAGUGAGUUCUCUCCAGUAAUUUUCCUUUUAUCACACUCCACCCACAGCCCUCCUCAAAAUGCUGGCUGAAUUAAGUACCUGCCACUGAAUGGGACACAAGUUCAAACCAGUGGAAGUGGGAAAAUGCAACUAAAAGCAAACGAAGUAACAAACAGCAAAACUUCUUCCCUCUGCAUCUGGGAUUCCAUUUUCUGGUUUUGGAGAGUCUACUACACUGAACAAAAUUUCUGUGUCCUGCUCCUGUCCCUGUCUUGAUGAAUACACAUGUAUGCAGUUGCCUGGCCAGAAAAGUCCUGGGAUGAUUUCAAUACUGAAAAUUUUCAUCAAAUGAGCCAGAAAUUCUUCCUGACUUCAACACAACAUGGCCAUUGGGAACAGAAUAAACCACAAAUAAGGAAAUGGAGAAAGUGGUUGACACACGCAAAAUUCUUGGUUUUAAAUUUAAUA